rnacentral:misc_RNA from 1 species
GAAAUGCGAUAAGUAAUGUAAAUUGCAGAAUUCAGUGAAUCAUCGAAUCUUUGAACGCACAUUGCGCCCGCCAGUAUUCUGGCGGGCAUGCCUGUUCGAGCGUCAUUUCAACCAUCAAGCCCCCGGGCUUGUGUUGGGGACCUGCGGCUGCCGCAGGCCCCGAAAACCAGUGGCGGGCUCGCUGUCACACCGGGCGUAGUAGAUUUUUCGUCUCGCCCAGGGCGUGCUGCGGGUUCCGGCCGUUAAAAAGCCUCUCUUUUUAACCCAAGGUUGACCUCGGAUCAGGUAGGAAGACCCGCUGAACUUAAGC